ensembl:lncRNA
CUUUUCCAUGGUGCAUAGGGAACCCUGAGUCAUUGCACUUCAGUCACUAGACAAUCUUAGGACAAGGUACAAGUAAAACAGCAGACAAGAAAUAGUAGCGGUAUUAACAACUAUAAAAAAAAUAGCACAGUUGGACCUCUUACUACCUUUUUAAAAUGGUGAGAAGAAAUGUAUAUAUAUUUAUUCAGGGAGUAAAAAUUAUAUGUCUUUCUUCUAAGAUUCCACCCUAAACAAACAAAAACAAACAACCCACAAGCCCCAUAAGAUAAUAAACUAACCAAAUUCUUGGCAGGUAUUAGAGACACCACAAGAGACUCCAUAAAAAAUAAUAAUAAUUUCUAUCUCUCCAUAUGCCUGGGAGAACAUUAUUAUUUUUUAAGAAGAAUAGCAGGUUGACAUGGAAGACUAGAAACAAAACUUCAAAGAACUCUAGAUAGUUGUUACUGCACUGGAAGAAAAUAAUCACAGAUACCACAUUGCGGCUUCGGAGGUUUUUUUGUUUGUUUGUUUUUGUGUUUGCCACUGUUUCCAUCUGCUGGCCACACAAUAACACUUUGCAGAAUAACAGGUAACUGCAAACGCUAUUCCUGAGGUAUAAUAAGUUUUUGGCUUGUUAUGGAGCAUCGGGCCAGACCUGACCAGAGUGCUGAUUUCCACACCAUUGCAGCAUACAUGGCCAAAAUGAAUCUUCUAAUUUGAUUCUCCUUUCCCCUCCUAUUUACUCUUCACCACUAAGCCCUGUGAAAACAAGUUUGGAUGAACCCUAAAUUUCCCGGUUCCUCAGGAAGCAAGCAGUUGGCACUAUGCUCUCAGUGCCUUCAAUGCUUCCAAAGAAUUUCAUUUUAUGAAUUCUUUUCAGAAAUGCUUUAUGUCAGGAACAUAAGAUUUUUAUAAGUCUUCACUGUCAAAUCCUUAGCCUCCACUGCUUGCUGGCUGAGAGCUGCUGAUACUGACAUGACCACUGUUGGUAAAUCAUUCUGUAUUCUGGCAUAGCUAAUUUCAAGGCAGAGUAAGCUCACUGUCAUCAGAAACUUAGCUUCUUGUUAAGAAGCUUCUCAGGAAAGUCGCGAGGCACAUUCCACCUGCAAAAACACCAGCUUGCUACUGCUAAUCACACAACUCUUCCAAAUAAUACAUUCGUGCCCCAGAAAUGUUGUCAAAUGCUUGGGAGCAAAUUGGAAAUUGCAGCCUGUGUUGAAUUCUCCAGAUCUGUCCUACGUAAUUAUCCACACUCUACGCCUGGCUCUGUGAUGUAUGGUUGUUGGUUUUAUGGGCUUUGUUUUUGUUUCCUAUAAUGUGCUAGCAGCCUGAUGGGGUACUUGUUUGGUUGAGCGUGCUUGGGUGCGUGCCACAACAUGCACUGAAUAACCUCUUCAUAGUUGUUGAAUAUUCAUGUAUGUUGUC